rnacentral:lncRNA from 1 species
AUAAUUUUUGAGACAUGGUAUUGAUUCAUGAAUAUCAUGUAAUGGUUUUGAAAAUGGGAUGGAUACAAAUCAAACUGAAAACUGGAAAUGGAUCACAUAUCUCUAUUUGGAGCUGCGUAAGAGGUUCCGUUAUUUGAUAACGACCCAUCAUGGUGGCGUAAGAGGCUUGCGUGGUUUACACACCCAAAACCACCUGGUCCAGCGUCUAAAGACCUAGCUAGUCUUUAGGUUCCGGAACAUUAUUUCGUGAUGGCCGACUAGAGCCGUCCGGUGUUGAUAGACUGAUCAGCUGUCUUCACCUGUUAGCGUCC